GACGAACGCUGGCGGCGUGCUUAACACAUGCAAGUCGAACGGAAAGGCCUGCUUUCCCUUGUGGAUUGCGGGUACUCGAGUGGCGAACGGGGGAGUAACACGUGAGUGAUCUGCCCCCAACUUGGGUAUAAGCCUGGGAAACUGGGUCUAAUUCCCGAUAGGACUGCAGGGUGGUUCCUGUGGUUGGAAACGAUUUUCUAGUGGUUGGGGGUGAGCUCGCGGCCUAUCAGCUUGUUGGUGGGGUAAUGGCCUACCAAGGCGGCGACGGGUAGCCGGCCUGAGAGGGUGGACGGCCACAUUGGGACUGAGAUACGGCCCAGACUCCUACGGGAGGCAGCAGUGGGGAAUAUUGCACAAUGGGCGGAAGCCUGAUGCAGCGACGCCGCGUGGGGGAUGACGGCCUUCGGGUUGUAAACUCCUUUCGACCGCGAGGAAGCCACCUGGUUGGAAGGGUGGUGACGGUAGUGGUAGAAGAAGCACCGGCUAACUACGUG
rnacentral:rRNA from 1 species